rnacentral:rRNA from 1 species
GAACGCUGGCGGCAGGCCUAACACAUGCAAGUCGAGCGGUAGAGAGGUGCUUGCAUCUCUUGAGAGCGGCGGACGGGUGAGUAAUGCCUAGGAAUCUGCCUAGUGGUGGGGGAUAACGUUCGGAAACGGACGCUAAUACCGCAUACGUCCUACGGGAGAAANCGGGGGAUCUUCGGACCUCGCGCCAUUAGAUGAGCCUAGGUCGGAUUAGCUAGUUGGUGAGGUAAUGGCUCACCAAGGCGACGAUCCGUAACUGGUCUGAGAGGAUGAUCAGUCACACUGGAACUGAGACACGGUCCAGACUCCUACGGGAGGCAGCAGUGGGGAAUAUUGGACAAUGGGCGAAAGCCUGAUCCAGCCAUGCCGCGUGUGUGAAGAAGGUCUUCGGAUUGUAAAGCACUUUAAGUUGGGAGGAAGGGUAGUAACCUAAUACGUUGCUACUUUGACGUUACCGACAGAAUAAGCACCGGCUAACUUCGUG